rnacentral:rRNA from 1 species
UGGGGAAUUGUUCGCAAUGGGCGCAAGCCUGACGACGCAACGCCGCGUGGAGGAUGAAGGUCUUCGGAUUGUAAACUCCUGUUGAUCGGGACGAACAUCCACCGGGAUAACACCCUGGAGGACUGACGGUACCGAUUGAGGAAGCCCCGGCUAACUCUGUGCCAGCAGCCGCGGUAAUACAGAGGGGGCAAGCGUUGUUCGGAAUUACUGGGCGUAAAGGGCGCGUAGGCGGCUGCCUAAGUCAGACGUGAAAUCCCUCGGCUCAACCGGGGAACUGCGUCUGAUACUGGGUGGCUUGAAUCCGGGAGAGGGAUGCGGAAUUCCAGGUGUAGCGGUGAAAUGCGUAGAUAUCUGGAGGAACACCGGUGGCGAAGGCGGCAUCCUGGACCGGCAUUGACGCUGAGGCGCGAAAGCCAGGGGAGCAAACGGGAUUAGAUACCCCGGUAGUCCUGGCCCUAAACGAUGAGUGCUUGGUGUGGCGGGUAUCGAUCCCUGCCGUGCCGAAGCUAACGCAUUAAGCACUCCGCCUGGGGAGUACGGUCGCAAGGCUGA